AUAAAAAGAUUUACGUUUUAAUCAGAAGCAAGAAAGGAAUGCCAGCGGGAGAGAGGAAGAUGGAAUUGUUUCGUUCUAAAAUUUUCGGAAACAUUUUAUUGAAAAAUCCGGAAAUUACGAAUAAAGUGGAAUGCAUCGAAGGGGACCUCACAAGAGAGAACUUAGGACUUUCCUCGUGUCAUAUGAAUUUGAUAACGAAAAACGUUUCGCUGGUGUUUCACUUGGCCGCUUCGGUUAAAUUCGAUGAACCUUUUCGCGAUUCGUUCGUCAAUAACGUGGAAUCGACGAAAAAUGUGGCCGAAGUUUGUCGUCAAAUGAAAAAUUUAUCGGCAUUCGUGCAUACUUCUACAGCUUAUUCUUUCUGCAACAGAAAGGAAGUGGAUGAAAAAAUCUAUACAAUGGACAGAACAUAUGAAGAAUUUAAGAACAUUGCAAAACUAGAAAAUAUUGCUUCCUUAGAGAUAACAGACGAAAAUUUUUUGGAAAAUCGACCCAACACUUAUACUUUAACAAAGGCCAUAGCAGAAAAUUAUUUAAAUACUUUCUGUAGAGAUUUGCCUGUAGUAAUUGUAAGACCUUCUAUUGUUAGUUGUACUUGGAAGGAACCUUUUCCCGGAUGGAUUGAUAAUAAUAGUGGUGUCGAUUACAUAGCUGGAACAGGAUUGAAAGGAAUACUUAGAAGUAUGUUAAAUGAUGAAGACAAAAUUUCUGAUUUCAUUCCAUCGGAUGCAGUGAGUAAUUUGAUGUUAGCUGCUGCUUGGAGGAAGGCGAUGACUCCUCAUCUAAAAGAAGCCGAAAUUCUAGUUUACAAUUGCACUUCAGGAUCCAUAAAUCCUUUCAUUUGGCGCCAGUUUUACAAAUGUUUAAAUACGCAUUCUUGGAAAUAUCCCGUAGAAAACAUCUUUUUAUAUCCAUCAAAAAUACCCAAGAAGAAUUAUUAUUGGAAUCGAUUAUGCAUCGCGAUACAACAUUUACUUCCUGCAAUGCUAACCGACGUAUUUCAAAUUGCCGUUGGCAGGAAACCAAAGAUGAUAAAAGUCUACAGUAAUCUUCAGAAAAAAAUAAGCACGUAUGAAUAUUUUUCAAUAAGAGAUUGGAAGUUUGGUGUCAGAAACGUGCAGGAAUUGCUGGAGAAAAUGUCGACUGAAGAUAAACAGAAUUUCGACUUUGACAUCUCGAAACUCAAUUGGGACCAGUACAUGGAAGAUUACUUUCUGGGCAUCAGGAGAUUCGUUUUCAAAGAGGAUGACUCGACCAUACCCCACAGCAGAAAAAUAUUAUUAUUAAAAUAUUAUUCUUUUUUAAUUGCAAAAAUCGGAUUGCUUUUUGCAUUCGUUUACAGUUUCACCAUCUUGUCGUUCUAGUUUUCCCCAAAAGAAGGAUUUAUUAUAUUUGAGAUUCUUACAUUAACUGCUUAUUAAUUUUAUUUUGCCUAUACCAGAAAGUGGACAAUAUACGAGGAAGAUGGAUUUACCGAUGUCCGGCAAUUUUAAAGUUUUUUUAAUUUUUAAAAACGAUAAAAUCGCUGUAAACUCUUAAAUAUUGCUUAACUAGAAAUGAAUAAACUGCUCUAAUUGUUCGUUGUAUAACAAAUUAAAAACAGAUUAAAAUACAGUAA